rnacentral:rRNA from 1 species
UACGUAGGAGGCGAGCGUUGUCCGGAAUUACUGGGCGUAAAGCGCGCGCAGGCGGCACAGUACGACCGGUGUGAAAGCCCCCGGCUCAACUGGGGAGGGUCACCGGUAACGGCUGAGCUGGCGAGUGCAGGAGAGGGAUGUGGAACUCCGGGAGUAGCGGUGAAAUGCGUAGAGACCCGGAGGAACACCAGUGGCGAAGGCGGCAUCCUGGCCUGCGACUGACGCUGAGGCGCGAAAGCUAGGGGAGCGAACGGG